GCUACCAUGCAGUCGAACGGUAACAGGANYAGCUUGCUGYUUCGCUGACGAGUGGCGGACGGGUGAGUAAUGUCUGGGAAACUGCCUGAUGGAGGGGGAUAACUACUGGAAACGGUAGCUAAUACCGCAUAACGUCGCAAGACCAAAGAGGGGGACCUUCGGGCCUCUUGCCAUCGGAUGUGCCCAGAUGGGAUUAGCUUGUUGGUGGGGUAACGGCUCACCAAGGCGACGAUCCCUAGCUGGUCUGAGAGGAUGACCAGCCACACUGGAACUGAGACACGGUCCAGACUCCUACGGGAGGCAGCAGUGGGGAAUAUUGCACAAUGGGCGCAAGCCUGAUGCAGCCAUGCCGCGUGUAUGAAGAAGGCCUUCGGGUUGUAAAGUACUUUCAGCGGGGAGGAAGGGAGUAAAGUUAAUACCUUUGCUCAUUGACGUUACCCGCAGAAGAAGCACCGGCUAACUCCGUGCCAGCAGCCCGCGGUUAAUACGGAGGGUGCAAGCGUUAAUCGGAAUUACUGGGCGUAAAGCGCACGCAGGCGGUUUGUUAAGUCAGAUGUGAAAUCCCCGGGCUCAACCUGGGAACUGCAUCUGAUACUGGCAAGCUUGAGUCUCGUAGAGGGGGGUAGAAUUCCAGGUGUAGCGGUGAAAUGCGUAGAGAUCUGGAGGAAUACCGGUGGCGAAGGCGGCCCCCUGGACGAAGACUGACGCUCAGGUGCGAAAGCGUGGGGAGCAAACAGGAUUAGAUACCCUGGUAGUCCACGCCGUAAACGAUGUCGACUUGGAGGUUGUGCCCUUGAGGCGUGGCUUCCGGAGCUAACGCGUUAAGUCGACCGCCUGGGGAGUACGGCCGCAAGGUUAAAACUCAAAUGAAUUGACGGGGGCCCGCACAAGCGGUGGAGCAUGUGGUUUAAUUCGAUGCAACGCGAAGAACCUUACCUGGUCUUGACAUCCACGGAAGUUUUCAGAGAUGAGAAUGUGCCUUCGGGAACCGUGAGACAGGUGCUGCAUGGCUGUCGUCAGCUCGUGUUGUGAAAUGUUGGGUUAAGUCCCGCAACGAGCGCAACCCUUAUCCUUUGUUGCCAGCGGUCCGGCCGGGAACUCAAAGGAGACUGCCAGUGAUAAACUGGAGGAAAGGGGGGGAUGACGUCMAGUCAUCAUGGCCCUUACGACCAGGGCUACACACGUGCUACAAUGGCGCAUACAAAGAGAAGCGACCUCGCGAGAGCAAGCGGACCUCAUAAAGUGCGUCGUUAAUCCCGGAUUGGAGUCUGCMACUCGACUCCAUGAA
rnacentral:rRNA from 1 species